UUAUUUCUCACAGUUGCUGCUAUCUCGCGCAGAGAUUAUUUACUUAAUAAUCUCUGCGCGAGAUAGCAGCAAUUGUGAGAAAUGAUAAUUUACCU
rnacentral:pre_miRNA from 1 species